rnacentral:rRNA from 1 species
GACGUAGGGGGCAAGCGUUGUCCGGAUUCAUUGGGCGUAAAGAGCUCGUAGGCGGCUUGGCAAGUCGGAUGUGAAAUCUCCAGGCUCAACCUGGAGUCGCCAUCCGAUACUGCCAUGGCUAGAGUCCGGUAGAGGAUCGUGGAAUUCCUGGUGUAGCGGUGAAAUGCGCAGAUAUCAGGAGGAACACCAAUGGCGAAGGCAGCGAUCUGGGCCGGUACUGACGCUGAGGAGCGAAAGCGUGGGGAGCGAACAGG